rnacentral:rRNA from 1 species
GACAGAGGGUGCAAGCGUUGUUCGGAAUCAUUGGGCGUAAAGGGCGCGUAGGCGGUUUGGUAAGUCAGAUGUGAAAGCCCAGGGCUCAACCUUGGAAGUGCAUCUGAAACUCCUGAACUAGAGUAUCGGAGAGGGUGGUGGAAUUCCCAGUGUAGAGGUGAAAUUCGUAGAUAUUGGGAGGAACACCGGUGGCGAAGGCGACCGCCUGGACGAAUACUGACGCUGAGGCGCGAGAGCGUGGGGAGCAAACAGG